rnacentral:ncRNA from 1 species
AUAAAGUUUUUUUAGCUUAUUUUUAUUAUUUAAGUUUAUUUUAAAUGCAAAUUUUUGUGAGAAGAAAAAAAAUUUUUAAAUAAAAUUUUUAAGAAUUGAUUCGCAGUAAUAAGUAUUAUUAAAUUUAAGAAAUUAAGAAAUAGUAAAUAUUUUUAGUAUAAACAAAUUUUGUGCCAGCAGUUGCGGUUACACAGGAUAUGCAAUAAUAAAUGUUUGGUAAUAGUAAAUUGUAAUAGAGAGUUUAUAAAAAAUUUUAAUAGGUGAAAUUUUAAGUUUUAAUAAAUUUAAAGUUAUUUUUGAAGCUAAUAAAUUCUGUUAUAAACUAGGAUUAGAUACCCUAUUAUAAAGAACCUAAUAAAAUUUGCCGAAUUAGUAGUAGUUAAGAUCUUGAAAAUUAAAAAAAUUGGCGGUAUUUUAGUCUAUUCAGAGGAACCUGUCCUAUAAUUGAUAGUCCACGAUUUUAUUUACUUAUCUUUUUAGUUUGUAUAUCGUCGUAGUUUGAAUAUUUUUUUAGAAAAUUAAUUUUCAAUAGCUUUAUUAAGAUAAAAUCAGAUCAAGAUACAGUUGAUAGAUAAGAAGAGAUGGGUUACAAUAAAUAUAUUUUGUUGGAUUAAAUUUUGUAAUAAAUUUAUGAAAGUGGAUUUGAAAGUAAUUUUAUAUAAAUUUAUAAAAUGAUUUUAGCUCUAAGAUAUGUACAUAUCGCCCGUCACUUUCAUUUUAAAAUGAAAUAAGUCGUAACAUAGUAGAUGUACUGGAAAGUGUCUCUAGAAAGAU